GAUGAACGCUAGCUACAGGCUUAACACAUGCAAGUCGAGGGGCAUCAGUUUGGUUUGCUUGCAAACCAAAGCUGGCGACCGGCGCACGGGUGAGUAACACGUAUCCAACCUGCCCAUCACUUGGGGAUAACCUUGCGAAAGUAAGACUAAUACCCAAUGACGUCUCUAGAAGACAUCUGAAAGAGAUUAAAGAUUUAUCGGUGAUGGAUGGGGAUGCGUCUGAUUAGCUUGUUGGCGGGGUAACGGCCCACCAAGGCGACGAUCAGUAGGGGUUCUGAGAGGAAGGUCCCCCACAUUGGAACUGAGACACGGUCCAAACUCCUACGGGAGGCAGCAGUGAGGAAUAUUGGUCAAUGGACGAGAGUCUGAACCAGCCAAGUAGCGUGCAGGAUGACGGCCCUAUGGGUUGUAAACUGCUUUAUAAGGGAAUAAAGUGGGAGUCGUGACUCUUUUUGCAUGUACCUUAUGAAUAAGGACCGGCUAAUUCCGUGCCAGCAG
rnacentral:rRNA from 1 species